rnacentral:rRNA from 1 species
AGUGAACGCUGGCGGUAGGCCUAACACAUGCAAGUCGAACGGCAGCACAGUAAGAGCUUGCUCUUACGGGUGGCGAGUGGCGGACGGGUGAGGAAUACAUCGGAAUCUACUUUUUCGUGGGGGAUAACGUAGGGAAACUUACGCUAAUACCGCAUACGACCUACGGGUGAAAGCAGGGGAUCUUCGGACCUUGCGCGAUUGAAUGAGCCGAUGUCGGAUUAGCUAGUUGGCGGGGUAAAGGCCCACCAAGGCGACGAUCCGUAGCUGGUCUGAGAGGAUGAUCAGCCACACUGGAACUGAGACACGGUCCAGACUCCUACGGGAGGCAGCAGUGGGGAAUAUUGGACAAUGGGCGCAAGCCUGAUCCAGCCAUACCGCGUGGGUGAAGAAGUGCUUCGGGUUGUAAAGCCCUUUUGUUGGGAAAGAAAAGCAGCAGGUUAAUACCCCGCUGUUCUGACGGUACCCAAAGAAUAAGCACCGGCUAACUUCGUG